rnacentral:rRNA from 1 species
UUAUUGGAGAGUUUGAUCCUGGCUCAGGACGAACGCUGGCGGCGUGCCUAAUACAUGCAAGUCGAGCGAGGGUCUUCGGACCCUAGCGGCGGACGGGUGAGUAACACGUAGGCAACCUGCCCAUAAGACUGGGAUAACAUAGGGAAACUUAUGCUAAUACCGGA